rnacentral:rRNA from 1 species
GAUGAACGCUGGCGGCGUGCCUAAUACAUGCAAGUCGAGCGAACAGACGAGGAGCUUGCUCCUCUGACGUUAGCGGCGGACGGGUGAGUAACACGUGUAUAACCUACCUAUAAGACUGGGAUAACUUCGGGAAACCGGAGCUAAUACCGGAUGAUAUAUUGAACCGCAUGGUUGAAUAGUGAAAGACGGCUUUGCUGGCACUUAUAGAUGGAUCCGCGCCGCAUUAGAUAGUUGGUAAGGUAACGGGCUACGAAGGCAACGAGGCGUAGGCGACGGGAGAGGGUGAUCGGCCACCUUGGAAGUGAGACACGGUCCAGACUACUGAGGGAGGGCGCAGUAGCGAAUGUUACGCAAUGGGCGAAAGCCUUACGGAGUAACGCCGCGUGAGUUAUGGCGGCGCUCGGAGCGUAAAAAUCUGUUACUAGGGAAGAACAAAUGUGUAAGUUACUAUGCACGUCUUGACGGUACCUAAUCAGAAAGCAACGGCUAACUACGUG